UUGAUUUCAAUUCUUGGGUUUUACAUUCUCAAUUGUGGCGUGUAGCCUGUAGGGUUCAAAACUCAAACUCUCCAUUAUUGCUUGCCGUGUUGAACCGUACUCCUGAAAGUCGCAUCAAGCUGGUUUCCACUGGGUGGCAUUUUAUUUUCCAUCGACCUUGAACCUGGCUGCUGUUUCAGUAUAGCAAAAGCCAAAGCCUACGCUAUCCCUUAAAAGGAACAAAAGAAGGUCUUACUAGGUCAACGGGUUUACAAAGUAAUUGCCUCUUCGAGAAUGCCAAGCUAUUUCACUAACAAUGCAAAACAGUCUUGUAUUAUUCUUCUUUUGUAAGGCUUUGUCUCCAAAUGUUCACAAUUUAAGCAGUAACAGUUAAGAAAUCAGAUGGCCUUGAGUCACGGUGGAAGUUACGGUAAAGAGAACAAAAAACUGAAAUUUCUCCAUGAUGUUCGCCUUAUUGGUGGUCCUCCUCAACCUUUUCAAUUUUGUUUUCUUUGAUGUAAAUUCAUCAUUACUUUUCGAUAAUUCACUCUUAUGAAGCACUUUUUGUUUUGGUGCAUGCAGUCUUGAGCAGGGAAGUUUCCUGCAAAGAUUUAAGAACUGACUCCUCUCUUGACUCUGCAAAUCAAUUGCUAUAGUCAGGCUUUUUAUUUUGGCUGUUUAGCUCCAUUGUUGAAAUCUAUUUCACAAAUGGAAAAUUGGAUUUUAUUCAAUAAACAGUUUUGUAAUUUUAUGAAGGGUGUCUCCAUCCACUGCUCAAGAAUCCAACCACCAGUACAUAUAAAGCACAUGCCCAACAGCAGCUAGUCAACAAAUGUGGGCACCCGAGCAAGUCUUUCCUGUAAACAAGUAAACAACAACAGCAGCAUGGAUGGCUGGACGUCUGUUAAACAAGUAACAGUACUGGAAUGCUGUGCUUGGCAUAGAGAAGAGGGGCAAUUUGCAGUUGUCUUAAUCUAUUCCUUUACCUGUCAUUGGACUCUACCCACUAAUUUAUAAGCAUAAAGUUGACGGUGCAAGGCAACCUUUUGUGACUGCAAUCAUGGAUUUCACAGCCUCUCUGCUUACCAUGUGGGCCGUGGUGCCCUGCCCUCAGAGCAUAGGGUUGAAUUGUAUAUUUAUAUAGGGAAGGGAUACCCUGUACUUCGUUUCUUGUCGCAUUAUUUUGUUUUCCAUCAAAAAAAUAUCAGUUCAGUUCAUUAGAGGAUAGAGUUCUCCUAAUUAUGCGGUUCUGAAUCCAAGAUUAAAAUUAGGAAUUGACAUAUUCUUCUAAACACUUGCAUUUCCAUCAAUGCAACAAGAAUAUGUCUGUGG
rnacentral:lncRNA from 1 species